rnacentral:tRNA from 13 species
GCACCAUUAGUUUAAUGGAUAGAAUAUAGAGCUACGAACUCUAUGGUUGAGGUUCGAUUCCUCGAUGGUGUACCA